ACAAUCUUCUAAAGCGAAGGACCGGACACCCUCGGAACCGAUCACAGCCCGGGAAAGGCUGGAGAGCUGGAGGCCCAAGGGCCCGCGAAGGGAGAAGGGAGAGGAGGGGGCAAACAAAGGAGGAAACAACCGAACCUCGAGCGAUGUGCGAGAAGAACGGCCGCGACCGAGGGUGCUCCGGGGCGCGGAGAGAGGCGGAGGGCGCCGGCGGGAGAGCGAGAGUCCGGGGUCUGCUAGUCGCUGCUGGUGAAUAAAAAGGAGAGAGGAGGCGCCUCUUACUGCUCUGCCGGAAAACUGCAGCCUGCGCUCCUGAUUGGACUCACCGAGCCCUAAACAAACAGCGCUAGCCGAAGGGUGCCAGGCUGUGGGUCGGAACUGCUCUCUACAAGCUGCUGGGUGCGGAGGUCAAUCAAAGAUAACGCGUUGAGAAGGAGCGGGGUACCUUCCCUGGACCCAGAAAGAAAUACCAUUUCUCCACCCCCAAUCUCACACACACCCCUUAGUCGCUCCCUCCAAAUGGUUAUCACAACUGUGUACAAACUGAUACGGUUCUUAGCGGGCCAAGGACUGGAAAUGAACACUGGCGGGGUUAUCAGUGCCGAUCUGUCAGCAGCAAGUCGCGCACUGCUUGUCCCAGGCAGCAGCAGUGAUAUACGUCUUAUUCCUUUGAGCUCACAAAAGGGAUUUCUUUCGACAAGCUGGACAUUGGAAGAAGGCUGCGAGAAGGGAAUUGAACAUGAGAAACACUCUUGUGGGAGUGGAUUCUUACAGGAACACCCCAGUCACUGUGGCUUCAGCGUGGCUGCAUUUAUGAAAGGCUGGAAGUAGAAAACUCUGGAAUGGAGAGACUAGCAGCUGGAACAGGAUUCAAAGGCUUUAAAUUUUAACCCGAGUUCGAUCGAAAGUUACUACCACAAGAGACUGGCACGGGCCGGCCCAAUUCCCACCACGGCUUCCAGCGGCUUGCUUUGGGUUGUCCGGCGUCGAAGACUAGAGAACACACUGACCCUGGCGCCUCUGGGACAGAGGUGAGGAGUUCGACCCAAACGAACAGAUUCGACAACAUUCGGACUCUAGAGGCUGGGGAAGAAACCCAUAAUUUUACCGUCCUCAUUCCCAAUCAUUUUAGUAGUGCCUCCAACCACAAGAAAACCGAUAGAUCAUUGUUUUUCCUUUCAGGGCUCAAAAUUCACCUUUUAAACUUUUUUUAAAGACUAGCUUUCCGAAAGAGGAAUAGGUUAGAGAAAUAUUUUUUUUUCCAUCUCAGUUAAUGUAAAAAUAAAACCUGUCCGGUUGACUAAGACAAAAACCUA
rnacentral:lncRNA from 1 species